GUGCUCACUUUGGCAGCACAUAUGCUAACACUGGAACGAUACAGAAUAGGUUAUCGUAACCCGUGCACAAGGAUGACAUGAAAAUUCAUGAAGUAUUCCUUGUUUUG
ensembl:snRNA U6 U6 spliceosomal RNA